rnacentral:rRNA from 1 species
UACGUAGGGGGCGAGCGUUGUCCGGAAUUAUUGGGCGUAAAGAGCUCGUAGGCGGUGUGUCACGUCGGCCGUGAAAACCUGGGGCUCAACUCUGGGCGUGCGGUCGAUACGGGCAUCACUUGAGUUCGGCAGGGGAGACUGGAAUUCCUGGUGUAGCGGUGAAAUGCGCAGAUAUCAGGAGGAACACCGGUGGCGAAGGCGGGUCUCUGGGCCGAUACUGACGCUGAGGAGCGAAAGCAUGGGUAGCAAACAGG